rnacentral:lncRNA from 10 species
GUAAGGCCUUUGGGAUAUAAUUAGAUUAUGAAGAUGAAGCUGUUAUAAAUGGGAUUAGUGCUCUUAUCAAAGGAGACACAGAGCGCUCUCUUGCCCUCUUUCUGCUAUGAGACUGCAAUGAAAAGUUGGCAGUCUGCAACCUGAAAGAAGGUCUUCACCUAGGACCCAACUAUGCUGACACUGAUCACAGACUCCCAGCUUCAAGAACGAUGGAGAUGGAGUCCCUCUCUGUCACCCAGGCAGAAGUGCAGUGGCGCAGUCUUGGCUCAGUGCAACCUCUGCCUCCUGGGUUCAACGGAUUCUCCUGCCUCACCCUCCUUAGUAGCUGGGAUUACAGCCCGUCUAAUUUUUGUAUUUUUUAGUAGAGAGGGGGGUUUCACCAUGUUGACCAGGCUGGUCUUGAACCCCUGACCUCAAGUGAUCCACCUGCCUUGGCCUUCCAAAGUGCUGGGAUUACAGGCUAGAGCCACUGUGCCUGGCCUAAAUUUCAUACUAUACGCAUUUACCCUCUAUUUAAUAUAAUACACCAAAUAAAGGUAUAGAAUAUCAAGAAACAAUAUGGAAUAAUUUCUUAUAUACAAAAACUUUAAAAUUAGUUAAGAAAACAAGUGAAAUAAACAUAAGAAAAAAGUUAAUAACUUUGGACAGUGAUAAAUUGUGUGGCACAGAUAAAUUUUAAUAAGAAUUAAGCUUAUUUAGACAUCUAGUUACAUUUAAGACAUCAUGGGUGAAAGAAGAUUACAGUUAAAACUUGACUCUCUCUUAAGUAAAACAAAGAAAGAUGUAAUAGCAUAAGAAAAACUAAAUGUCCUUCUGGUGUCAAGUCCCUCAUUUUUUUUGUAUGUGUUUAGAGUGUAUUGGGGACAAUAAUUUCAAUAGCGUAAAUUAUAUGUAGGCCAUAAACAGCAUUGUAAGUAAUCAGUAUAAAACAAAAGUUCUGGGAGAACCAGGUACUAAAGAUAAGACAAACCAAAGAUUAUUAGAAUAAAAUAAUAGAUCAAAAGAACAAAAGAGGAUAUAUUUCCCUAGGAAAGAAAAACAACAAAAUUUCAAUUAAAUUGUUGGAUUUUAAAAGCAUACAAUUUAAAAAAAGAGUCUGACAUUAUCAAAGGCCAGAGUAAAACAGUGAGUU